AGGUUCAAGCAAUCAAGCGAUUCUUCUGCCUCAGCCUCCCGAGUAGCUGGGACUACAGACGGAGAAACUGGGACCCAGAAGAUUAACAACUGGAGUUACAUGCUGGGGCUAGAAUCCAGAUAUCCUGACUGUCAGCGAUGGAGCAAAGAGCACAACAAAGUUGGGGAAGACUUUGGAGCUGAAGCUUUUAUAGACUGUGUUCUCAACCUAGAAGAAUGUCAGCAGCAUGACAGAGUGAGGAUGUUAAGAAACCUCCCUCAAAAGCAAUCCUAAAAUUGGACAAAAUUCAAAAACAACCAUUUUAGUACUCCAGAAUUUGUCCUAAGGAAUACAACAAAAUCAGAAGCAUUUAUUCGUGAAAACUACUGAACUUUUCAGCCAUUCAAAAUGCCAAAAGGAAUGAAGGCUAAGUGGAAGAAGAUGGCCCCCUCUCCUGCUAUUGUGAGGAAGCAGGAGGCCAAGAAGGUGAUGAAUCCCGUUUGAGAAAAGGCCUAAGAAUUUUGGCACUGGACAGGACAUUCAGCCCUAAAGGGACCUCACCCACUUUGUCAAAUGGCCCUGCCAUAUCAGGUUGCAGCAGCAAGGAGCUAUCUAUCUUCUAUAAGCGGCUGAAAGUGCCUCCUCCAAAUAACCAGUUUACCUAGGCCUUGGACUGCCAAAUAGCUACACAACUGCUUAAGCUGGCCUAUAAGGACAGACCAGAGACAAAGCAAGAAGAUCAUUGGCCCAGACUGAGAAGAAAGUUGCCAGAGGGAUGUCUCCACUAAGAGGCCUUUGAGCAGGGAUUAACGCUGUCACCACCUUGGUGGAGAACAAGAAAGCUCAGCUGGUGGUAACUGCACAUGACAAUGGAUCUCAUAGAGCUAGCUGUCUUCCUGCCUGCCCUGCAUCAUAAAAUACAAAGGGAAGACAAGACUGGAUUGUGCAGUCCACAGGAAGACUUGCACCACUGUCGCAUUCACAUAGAUUAACAUGGCAGACAAAGGGGCUUUGGCUAAGCUGGUGGAAGCCAUCAGAACCAAUGACAAUGACAGACAGGAUGAGAUCCACUGUCACUAGGGAGGCAAUAUCCUGGGUCCAAAAUCUCUGGCUCUCAUUGCCAAGCUGGAAAAGGCAAAGGCUUAAGAACUUCCCAUUGGCCGGGCGCAGUGGGAUUACAUGCCUGUAAUCCCAGCUACUAGGGAGGCUGAGGCAGGACAAUCACUUGAACCUGGGAGGCAGAGGUUGCGGUGAGCCGAGAUCGCGUCAUUGCACUCCAGCCUGGGCAACAAGAGCGAAAAUCCAUCUUAAAAAAAAAAAAAAAAAAAAAAUCCUUCCCAUUAAGCUGGGUUAAAUGUAGACUGUUGAGUUUUCUGGACAAAUAAUAAUAAUUCUCCUUCAGCCAAAGAAAAUGAAAUAUAAAUUAAGACAUAACAAUUAUAAGCAUAUGUGCAACUUCAUUCCAAAAUACACAAAGCAAAACUGACAGAACUGAGGAGAAAAAUUCAACAAUGGUU